rnacentral:rRNA from 1 species
AGUAGCGGCGAGCGAAGCGGGAAGAGCCCGGUGUGAAAAUCUCUUCGGAGAAUUGUAUUUGAGUGUCCUUUGGGUGGUCAGUGCGAGCAAGUUGCUUGGGAUAGCACGCCAUGGAGGGUGAGAGCCCCGUCCAUCUCGCACAGGAUCCAUCCGCACAAGGGCGCUUCAACCGAGUCGGGUAGCUUGGGAAUGCUGCUCUAAUUGGUGGUAAAUCUCAUCAAAGGCUAAAUAACGGUGGGAGACCGAUAGCGAACAAGUACCGUGAGGGAAAGAUGGAAAGAACUUUGAAAAGAGAGUGAAAAGAACUUGAAACCGUCACGGGGGAAGCGGAUUGCGUGAGUGGUGGUGUCGCUUGUUCAGCGCCUUUGGCGUGCAUUCUGGCGAUACCUUGUCGUCGUGGCUGGCUGGUACGUGAAUUUGACGUUCUGGCUGGUGAGGGCUCCCGCAAGGUGAGGACGACGACAAAAUGACGCAAUACGACCCGUCUUGAAACACGGACCAAGGAGUCUAGCACGGCUGCGAGUCGAAGGGUGUAAAACCCACGGGCGUAGUGAAAGCGAAUUUUAAAGCAAAUUGGGGAGGCGUGGCGUUUUUAACAAAAUGUCCUACCUUGAGCAUUUGUGCUGGGACCCGAAAGAUGGUGAACUAUGCCGGAGUAGGGCAAAGCCAGAGGAAACUCUGGUGGAGGCUCGUAGCGAUGCUGACGUGCAAAUCGCUCGUCGAACUUGGGUAUAGGGGCGAAAGACUAAUCGAACCAUCUAGUAGCUGGUUCCCUCCGAAGUUUCUCUCAGGAUAGCGGGCCGACAUAUGUUGUUUUGUGCGGUAAAGCGAAUGAUUAGUGCAUUUGGGGUCUGAUAGACUUCGGGCGAUUCUCAAACUUUAAAUGCGCAAGGGGGUGGCUGCUUAAUUGAGCCUACUCUUUGAAAAACGUCGGCCCUGUGGGCCACUUUUGGUAAGCAGAACUGGCGAUAAGGGAUGAACCUUAAGCGCGGUUAAGGCGCCGCAUUGCCCGCUUAUAGAUCCCACAAAAGGUGUUGAUUCAUUUAGACAGCAGGACGGUGGCCAUGGAAGUCGGAAUCCGCUAAGGAGUGUGUAACAACUCACCUGCCGAAUGAAUUAGCCCUGAAAAUGGAUGGCGCUGAAGCGGGCAGCCGACACCGCGCCGUUCCGGCGAGACGAUGCCGGGAUGAGUAGGAGGGCGUGGCGGUCAGUGACGCAGGCGAGGGUGCAGACCCCGCUGAAACGGCCGCUAGUGCAGAUCUUGGUGGUAGUAGCAAAUAUUCAAGCGAGAUCCUUGAAGGGCGAAGCGGGGAAGGGUUCCACGCAAACAUUGAUUGGGCGUGGGUGAGUCGUUCCUAAGCCGAGUGGCAAUUGCUAAGUAGCGGCGAAAGGGAAGCGGGUUAAAAUUCCCGCACACGGAUAUGGAGGCGGCGACGCAAGCAGAGGUAAAUACGCUGGCGAGGGCGCUGGGCAGAGUUGUCUUUUCUGUUUGACCGGCAUCGCGCGGUGUGGAAUCCGCUUAUCGGGAGAAACACGCGCGGG